rnacentral:rRNA from 1 species
AAGGAACGCUGGCAGCGUGCAUAACACAUGCAAGUCGAACGCGGAAGGAUUCUUCGGAAUCUGGAAGAGUGGCGAACGGGUGAGGAACACGUAAGAAUCUGCCCCUCGGACGGGGAUAACUCUUGGAAACGAGAGCUAAUACCCGAUAUGCUGUGGAGUGAAAGGAUUCCGCCGAGGGAUGAUCUUGCGUCUGAUUAGCUUGUUGGUAUGGUAAUGGCAUACCAAGGCGACGAUCAGUAGCUGGUCUGAGAGGAUGGACAGCCACAUUGGAACUGAGACACGGUCCAAACUUCUACGGGAGGCAGCAGUGGGGAAUUUUCCGCAAUGGACGCAAGUCUGACGGAGCGACGCUGCGUGAAGGAUGACGGCCUGAGGGUUGUAAACUUCUUUUCUCGAAGAAGAAGCUCUGACGGUAUUCGAGGAAUAAGCAUCGGCUAACUCCGUGCCAGCCGCCGCAGUAACAC